rnacentral:rRNA from 1 species
UACGGAGGGUGCAAACGUUGCUCGGAAUCAUUGGGCGUAAAGCGCACGUAGGCGGCCUGUUAAGUCGGGUGUGAAAGCCCUGGGCUCAACCCAGGAAUUGCCUUUAAGACUGCAUCGCUUGAAUCCGGGAGAGGUGAGUGGAAUUCCGAGUGUAGAGGUGAAAUUCGUAGAUAUUCGGAAGAACACCAGUGGCGAAGGCGGCUCACUGGACCGGUAUUGACGCUGAGGUGCGAAAGCGUGGGGAGCAAACAGG